AGGACGAACGCUGGCGGCGUGCCUAAUACAUGCAAGUCGAACGGUCUUUCUAUGGGAGCUUGCUUCCACUGAGAAGAUAGUGGCGAACGGGUGAGUAACACGUGGGUAACCUGCCCAUAAGAGGGGGGAUAACAUCCGGAAACGGGUGCUAAUACCGCAUAGUUUUCUUGGUCGCAUGAUCGGGAAAGGAAAGACGGCCUUUGUGCUGUCGCUUAUGGAUGGACCCGCGGCGUAUUAGUUAGUUGGUGAGGUAACGGCUCACCAAGACGAUGAUACGUAGCCGACCUGAGAGGGUGAUCGGCCACAUUGGGACUGAGACACGGCCCAAACUCCUACGGGAGGCAGCAGUAGGGAAUCUUCCGCAAUGGACGAAAGUCUGACGGAGCAACGCCGCGUGAGUGAAAGAAGGUUUUCGGAUCGUAAAACUCUGUUGUCAGAGAAGAACAAGUUGGAGAGUAACUGCUCCAGCCUUGACGGUAUCUGACCAGAAAGCCACGGCUAACUACGUGCCAGCCGCCGC
rnacentral:rRNA from 1 species